UACAGAGGGUGCAAGCGUUAAUCGGAAUUACUGGGCGUAAAGCGUGCGUAGACGGUUGCGUAAGUCAGAUGUGAAAGCCCCGGGCUUAACCUGGGAAUGGCAUUGGAAACUGGCAGCUGGAGUGUGGCAGAGGGGGGUGGAAUUCCGCGUGUAGCAGUGAAAUGCGUAGAGAUGCGGAGGAACACCGAUGGCGAAGGCAGCCCCCUGGGCCAACACUGACGCUCAGGCACGAAAGCGUGGGGAGCAAACAGG
rnacentral:rRNA from 1 species